rnacentral:rRNA from 1 species
CUACGGGCCGCUCCAGUGGGGAAUAUUGCACAAUGGAGGAAACUCUGAUGCAGCAACGCCGCGUGGAGGAUGACACUUUUCGGAGCGUAAACUCCUUUUAUAUAGGAAGAAGAUGACGGUACUAUAUGAAUAAGCGCCGGCUAACUCCGUGCCAGCAGCCGCGGUAAUACGGAGGGCGCAAGCGUUACUCGGAAUCACUGGGCGUAAAGAGCGUGUAGGCGGAUUAAAAAGUCAGAAGUGAAAUCCUAUAGCUUAACUAUAGAACUGCUUCUGAAACUCUUAAUCUAGAAUAUGGGAGAGGUAGAUGGAAUUUCUGGUGUAGGGGUAAAAUCCGUAGAGAUCAGAAGGAAUACCGAUUGCGAAGGCGAUCUACUGGAACAUUACUGACGCUAAGGCGUGAAAGCGUGGGGAGCAAACAGGAUUAGAUACCCGCGUAGUC